rnacentral:tRNA from 1 species
AGGGAGACAAACAACGAUUUUGAUGCCUGAGUAGUUUUAUUCUUAGGCCGAAAUCCUGUCACCUUAGGUCGAUCGGUACCUCAGUUUUGAGAUUAAGAAUCAGCAGCGAUGUUGAUUGCUUGAUGGAGAAUUUCAGUUCCUAAACUUUGUCUAGGUCACACCCCACAAGGGUUGAGUUUUCCUGGGCCAUUAGCUCAGGUGGUUAGAGCGCACCCCUGAUAAGGGUGAGGUCCCUGGUUCAAGUCCAGGAUGGCCCAUUCGGUGUUGGGGGUUUAGCUCAGUUGGUAGAGCGCCUGCUUUGCAAGCAGGAUGUCAGGAGUUCGAGUCUCCUAACCUCCACUGACCGAACUUAAUCUCCGGCUUUGCAUUGAAUGAUGGAGAGCCACUCGAUUGUGAUGUGUGAUUUAGGCGAUGUCCGCUAGAGGAACCCAGCUUCCUGUCAUUCCAGGUUUGAAGUUUGAAACUUUGAAUUUGGUUGAUACGAUGCUGGGCUCAGAUCAAGUUGUGAUGCAGCAUUUCUGUUGUGUGAUGACUUGAUAUGACGUCUAGCAGAACCUUGACAACUGCAUAGUUGAAGUCUGGAAAAAACAAAGCAUCUCAUGGAUGCAUUGUUUUGUAUCUAAGCAUUCGAGAGAAUGGUUGGAUCCAGAGCAAUGAAAAUUCUUUUGAGCGAGAGCCGAGACUCAGUAAUGUUCUUCUUAACGUGUCGAGCGUUAAGGAGUUUGAUUUUGUUUUCAGCGGAAGUGAAAACUGAAGUUGAAAGCAGAAGAAUCCGUCUCAACAACGGUAAGCAUUAUGGAGAUACAUU